rnacentral:misc_RNA from 1 species
AGUCGUAACAAGGUCUCCGUUGGUGAACCAGCGGAGGGAUCAUUACCAGAGUGCCCUAGGCUCUCCAACCCAUUGUGAACAUACCUAUCGUUCCCUCGGCGGGCUCAGCGCGCGGUGCCUCCGGGCUCCGGGCGUCCGCCGGGGACAACCAAACUCUGAUUUUAUUGUGAAUCUCUGAGGGGCGAAAGCCCGAAAACAAAAUGAAUCAAAACUUUCAACAACGGAUCUCUUGGCUCUGGCAUCGAUGAAGAACGCAGCGAAAUGCGAUAAGUAAUGUGAAUUGCAGAAUUCAGUGAAUCAUCGAAUCUUUGAACGCACAUUGCGCCCGCCGGCACUCCGGCGGGCAUGCCUGUCCGAGCGUCAUUUCAACCCUCAGGACCCCCUUUCGGGGGGGACCUGGUGCUGGGGAUCAGCGGCCUCCGGGCCCCUGUCCCCCAAAUUGAGUGGCGGUCGCGCCGCAGCCUCCCCUGCGUAGUAGCACACCUCGCACCGGAGAGCGGCUCGGCCACGCCGUGAAACCCCCAAUUUUUUAAGGUUGACCUCGGAUCAGGUAGGAAUACCCGCUGAACUUAAGCAUAUCAAUAAGCGGAGGAAAAGAAACCAACAGGGAUUGCCUCAGUAACGGCGAGUGAAGCGGCAACAGCUCAAAUUUGAAAUCUGGCCGCAAGGUCCGAGUUGUAAUUUGUAGAGGAUGCUUUUGGCGAGGUGCCUUCCGAGUUC